AUGAUAGGUAUUUUCUGGAAUAUUAGAGGGGUAAAUGGCCCCUUUAAAGUGGACAAAUUGAAAGAGCUCAUUAGAGCCAAUAGUCCAGAUAUUAUUUGUAUUUCUGAAACCAAGAAAGAAGAGUUUACUCUUCUUCAACUUGAAGCCUUUGAUCCCAGAGCUGAAUUCAUUUGGAAAUGGCUCCCUGCAGUUAAUACUGCAGGUGGGAUCUUAUUUGGAUGUAGGCUGGAUAGUGUUGACCUAGUCCAGUGGAUUCAUAUAUUCAGUAUUUCAUGCAUUCUUAAAAAUAAACAAGACUCCUCUAUUUGGAGACUUGUUACUGUUUAUGGUUCUGCCUAUGAUCAGUUUAAAAUGGAUUUCAUUAAUGAAUUACACUCCUUGCUGACCAGUUGGACAGGGCCUACCCUGGUGGGGGGUGACUUCAAUCUAAUUAGAGAGGCCAGCGAUAAAAAUACUGGUCCUAUCAAUCAGCACUGGGCUAACCUCUUUAAUGAUUGCAUUAAUAAAUUUGGCUUAUUAGAACUUAAGAUUAAUGGGAGGAGAUACACUUGGGGCAACAACCAGGAUACCUUGGUGAUGGCUACUAUUGAUAGAGUCUUUAUGUCCACUGAUUGGGCUGCUGCUUUUCCUGGAGUGCACCUUAAAGCCCUACCUAGGCUAGGGAGUGAUCACACUCCUUUGGUGCUCAAUACAGGUGCUUUUCCCAUUCCUAAGACCAAACACUUCAGGUUUGAAAAAAUGGUGCUUAGAGGUAGAAGGUUUUAG
rnacentral:rRNA from 1 species